CAGUAGCCACGGUAAUACGAAGGGUGCAAGCGUUAAUCGGAAUUACUGGGUUUAAAGGGUGCGUAGGCGGGCAGGUAAGUCAGUGGUGAAAUCUUCGAGCUUAACUCGGAAACUGCCGUUGAUACUAUCUGUCUUGAAUAACGUUGAGGUGAGCGGAAUAUGUCAUGUAGCGGUGAAAUGCUUAGAUAUGACAUAGAACACCGAUUGCGAAGGCAGCUCACUAAACGCUCAUUGACGCUGAGGCACGAAAGCGUGGGGAUCAAACAGGAUUAGAUACCCGCGUAGUCCCUGUCUCUUAUAA
rnacentral:rRNA from 1 species